CGAGACCUCAGGUCAGGCGGGGCUACCCGCUGAGUUUAAGCAUAUCAAUAAGCGGAGGAAAAGAAACUAACAAGGAUUCCCUUAGUAACGGCGAGCGAACCGGGAAGAGCCCACUGUGAGAAUCGGUCGCGUUGUGCGUCCGAAU
rnacentral:rRNA from 1 species